rnacentral:rRNA from 1 species
UACAGGGGGUGCGAGCGUUAAUCGGAAUUACUGGGCGUAAAGCGUGCGCAGGCGGUUCGCUGUGUCCGAUGUGAAAGCCCCGGGCUUAACCUGGGAAUGGCAUUGGAAACUGGCGGGCUUGAGUGCGGCAGAGGGGGGUGGAAUUCCGCGUGUAGCAGUGAAAUGCGUAGAGAUGCGGAGGAACACCGAUGGCGAAGGCAGCCCCCUGGGUCGACACUGACGCUCAGGCACGAAAGCGUGGGGAGCAAACAGG